rnacentral:ncRNA from 1 species
UGGCUAUGAAACUUUAAGCUGUGUCGGAAUGCAGUUUAUCGUGGAGCCUGCCCGUGGGUUGUGCGAAAACCACAAACCGAAUAGGUCGUCAGACUGAACGAAAACGCAAAAA